ensembl:lncRNA
AUGGCAGCAAAGGCCAAAGUCUUAUUUGAGUUAUUACCAUUAUUAUUCACAUUUGCCAUUUUAUUUCAAACUCACAGUGGCGGAAGUGGACUAAGACAUCAUGUUGCCUCAAGUUUAAUUGGAAAUCGUGAGAUGGGGUUUUACUAUGUUGGAGAAGCUAGUCUCAAACUCCUGGGCUCAAGUCAUCCUCCCGCCUCAGCCUGGUUAUUGAGAUUACAGACGUGUGCCUGGCCUAUUUUACUCGUUUUGAUUCCCAAGAGGAAAAUUUCAGAGCUGGCAUGUCCAUUAUGCAAGUAA